GACGGAGGAUGCAAGUGUUAUCCGGAAUCACUGGGCGUAAAGCGUCUGUAGGUGGUUUAAAAAGUCCACUGUUAAAAAUUGAAGCUUAACUUCAAAGAUGCCGUGGAAACUUUUAAACUUGAGUAUGAUAGGGGUAGAGGGAAUUUCCAGUGGAGCGGUGAAAUGCGUAGAUAUUGGAAAGACCACCAAUGGCGAAGGCACUCUACUGGGCCAUUACUGACACUGAGAGACGAAAGCUAGGGGAGCGAACGGG
rnacentral:rRNA from 1 species